rnacentral:rRNA from 1 species
AUGAACUCUGGCGGCGUGCCUAAUACAUGCAAGUCGAGCGAACAGACGAGGAGCUUGCUCCUCUGACGUUAGCGGCGGACGGGUGAGUAACACGUGGAUAACCUACCUAUAAGACUGGGAUAACUUCGGGAAACCGGAGCUAAUACCGGAUAAUAUAUUGAACCGCAUGGUUCAAUAGUGAAAGACGGUUUUGCUGUCACUUAUAGAUGGAUCCGCGCCGCAUUAGCUAGUUGGUAAGGUAACGGCUUACCAAGGCAACGAUGCGUAGCCGACCUGAGAGGGUGAUCGGCCACACUGGAACUGAGACACGGUCCAGACUCCUACGGGAGGCAGCAGUAGGGAAUCUUCCGCAAUGGGCGAAAGCUUGACGGAGCAACGCCGCGUGAGUGAUGAAGGUCUUCGGAUCGUAAAACUCUGUUAUUAGGGAAGAACAAAUGUGUAAGUAACUAUGCACGUCUUGACGGUACCUAAUCAGAAAGCCACGGCUAACUACGUG